rnacentral:rRNA from 1 species
GACGUAGAGCGCGAGCGUUGUCCGGAUUUAUUGGGCGUAAAGAGCUCGUAGGCGGCUUGUCGCGUCGAAUGUGAAAUCUCGGGGCUCAACUCCGAGCUUGCAUUCGAUACGGGCAGGCUAGAGUUCGGUAGGGGAGACUGGAAUUCCUGGUGUAGCGGUGAAAUGCGCAGAUAUCAGGAGGAACACCGGUGGCGAAGGCGGGUCUCUGGGCCGAUACUGACGCUGAGGAGCGAAAGCGUGGGGAGCGAACAGG